rnacentral:rRNA from 1 species
CCUACGGGAGGCAGCAGUCGGGAAUAUUGGGCAAUGGAGGAAACUCUGACCCAGCAAUACCGCGUGAAGGAUGAAGGUUUUCGGAUUGUAAACUUCUGUUAUAAAGGAAGAAAAAAAUGACGGUACUUUAUAAGUAAGCCCCGGCAAACUAUGUGCCAGCAGCCGCGGUGAUACAUAGGGGGCAAGCGUUGUCCGGAAUGACUGGGUGUAAAGGGUGUGUAGGUGGCUUAUUAAGUUAGAGGUGAAAGCCCGAAGCUCAGCUUCGGAACUGCCUUUAAAACUGGUUGGCUUGAGUGUGGGAGAGGUUAGUGGAACUCCUAGUGUAGCGGUGGAAUGCGUAGAUAUUAGGAAGAACUCCGAUUGCGAAGGCAGCAUACCGGCGCCCGACUGACGCUGAGGCACGAAAGCGUGGGUAUCGAACAGGAUUAGAUACCCCAGUAGUC